rnacentral:rRNA from 1 species
UACAGAGGUCUCAAGCGUUGUUCGGAUUCAUUGGGCGUAAAGGGUGUGUAGGUGGCGCGCUAAGUCGGGUGUGAAAUUUCGGAGCUUAACUCCGAAACUGCAUUCGAUACUGGCGUGCUUGAGGACUGGAGAGGAGACUGGAAUUUACGGUGUAGCAGUGAAAUGCGUAGAUAUCGUAAGGAAGACCAGUGGCGAAGGCGGGUCUCUGGACAGUUCCUGACGCUGAUGCACGAAGGCCAGGGGAGCAAACGGG